rnacentral:ncRNA from 1 species
GGAAAGCAUAGGAUCGACCCAGUACAGUAAACGGUGAUGUUCAGAGAGAAAAACAAUUGCUGAAAGUUUUUCCACACACGAUAUUGGAAGCCCAGUCGUGAUGCUCUGAUGAGGAGUCGGACGGUAUCCACCGUUAAAUGGACUGUUGCUAGAGAAAUUUAGUAACAUGAAGUUGGCAUGUGCAAUAAAGGUGGUACCGCGGAAGGUUUCUUUCGUCCCUUAA